CGAAGGCUCCGAAGCGGACCGUUGGGCCAGGCGGGCCGGCGCGGGCGGGCCGGGAAAAGAGGCUGCCCGCCGGGUGGGGCUGACGGACUCGCCACUUGCACAGCCGCCAGCGCCCCUGGAACACAUCUACGGAGAGGUUCUCUUCCGCUUCGCCCCGAGACGGCGGGAAGGGCCGCCGCGGGCUUGAUCAGAAAUGUGUCUGUCGGCAUCUACGGCGGGGUGCAGCGGAUUUGGCUGGGCGCGCUUAUUCAGGGUAUUACGACGGUUCCCCGACGCCGGCGCUGACGUGUGCGCAGGGGGCGGGGCCACUCGGCCUCCCAGUUCCCGGCCGGAGCCGGGAGUCGGACGCGCUUCGGUGUCGGCGCGGAAAAGCCGCUCCCUGGGGGGCGUGGCGGCGGGGGGGAGUGGAGGGGAGGCGUCAGCCGCGCCGGUGGGUAGAAAAUUGGGCGCCCAGCCCACGCCCAACUUCGCUGGAUCCCUUCCUUCCGGCGUCCGUCCGCCGGAGUCCGCGAGUUUCUACCUGCAGGUGUUUCCUGGCCGCCAGUGACAUGGGCAGUUUCAUGGACGACCGCCCACCCGUAGACCCUGCUGGACCGCAACGCCUCCCCCUUACGCGCCCAAACAAAGAAAUAAAAUGCUGUGUGACGUUUUGGAACGAGUCCGGUCCCGAAUGGUUCCGUGGUUAACUGUGGAACUUGAGGUUUGGAAGGGGCUUCGGGGGUGGUUCAGUGAUGCCAGAUUUUAACUCUGAAUGUAGUCAAAGACUCAAAGAGACUCACCCUGUAUUUCCCUGUAGUAAUUCAUCUUGAUAACAUGGCUUGCUGUCCAAAAACUAAGCCGGCUGAUGCGUUGUGGCAGCAGUUGAAGGUUGCACAGCAUGCAGCGUCACCUAAUUAUACAUCAGGCAGAAGAACAAAAAGUGAACCUCAAGAUAAAAAGAACUUAACAUUAAAUCUAAAAAGAGAAAGCACAGGAGGUGUGAUAAAAUCUGAUGUUAAUUAUUAGGCAGGCACAAGGGAAGUGGGCAUACAUGAAAGAUAGUUUGCAGCACAAUUAUUAGAGUCACUUCUUUCUAGGUUAAAGAGUCAUGUACCUCAGUCAUGGAAGGCAUGCCCUUACAUUAAAAGAUCAUUAAACGUGAUGCUUACAGAAAUUGAGCCACUUUAACUUUAUGACUGUUCACAAAUCCUUACUUCCCAAGAACUCUUCGAUCUGUUUGGAGCGGAAUCUAGCUCUGAAAGGGUUUUUUAUUUGUUUUGUUUUGUUUUUUUAAUGGUUACUUAAAGGAAAAGAAUUCAGUACACUGUGAAUUCUGUUAUGUGAAGGCGUGGAUUAAUUUCCCAUGGCUGCUGUAACAAGUACCUUUAACUGGCUUUGAGAUAACAGAACUCUCUUCUCUCACAGCCCUGAAAGCCAGAAGCCCACAGUCAAGGUGUGGGCCAGGCUGCACUUCCUCUGGAGACUCUGGGCAGAGAAUCCCUUCUUGCCCCUUCCAGCUUCCGGUGGUGGCAUUACUUAGCUUCCUUGGCUUAUGGCCACAUCCCUCCAAUCUCUGCCUCUGUCUUCAUAUUGCCUCCUCUUCUCUCUGUGUCUUCUCAUUUUCUGUGUGCCCCCUAAUGGCAUUUGUCAUUGGAUUUAGUGCCCACCCAGAUAAGCUAGAAUUACCUCAUUUUAAGAUCCUUGAUUAAUCUGCAAAUAUCCUUUUUUUCAAAUUCAUUGAAUAUUGUUCCCCACAUAGUUAUGUCUACCUGGAACCUCAGAAGGUGACCUUAUUGGAAAGUGAGUCUUGCAGAUGUAAUUAGUUAAGAUGAAGUCAUACUGGAUUAAGACGGGUCCUAAAUCCAAUGAUUCAUUUCCUUGUAAGAAGGUCAUGCACAUGAAGACUCACAAGAGGCCAAAACCGGUUUGGCUCAGUGGAUAGAGCGUCGGCCUGCAGACUGAAGGGUCCCGGGUUCGAUUCCGGUCAAGGGCGUGUACCUGGGUUGCGGGCACAUCCC